GCUAUUUACUUUAUCGUAAUAAUCACCUUCGUAUACGUAUUUGUUGUUUCAGUUAAAAGCAAAUCUGAAGAGUGCGAAGUAACUCUCAAAUUCAUUCUGUGCCUAACAGCAGAAACGAAACGCUUAAUGAGAGAAAUGGAAUAAGAUAAAAUUUUAGUAUUAUAUUAAAGAGUUAAUAUAAUAUCUAAAAAGAGAAUUUAAUGGAAAUCAAGAAUUUGAUAUACAAGCAAUAUAUAUUCUUUAUAAUCGAUCUCUUUUUUGCAAAAAUGCAAUCAUUGCCUUCGUACAACAUUUCAUCAAUUAUUAAGAAAUAACUUUUCGCCAAAACAAAAUCGAUAUAUUAAAAUAAAAAGUAGAAUAAAAAGUAGAAUAAAAUAAAUUUUUCUAUUACAUUAUAAAAAAUGCCACAACUAUUCGUUAUUAUUAUUCGUUAUUGUCCAGAAGAUUAUAGCGAAUUUAUCCUACAACUGCUAAGUCAUGGCAGCAACUCGAAAGCACGACAAUUAUUGUAAUCGAGGGUAAGGAGGCGCUACGUAAAGCAUUAGAUGGAAAUAUUUGCAAAUACUGCACGAUUAUUGGUCCCUGCGGGUCAAAGUUUCAUGACGCAAAUGAAAUUACAAAACCAAUCAAAUCGCGAAUUACUGAGGGUUUCGAGAACCGAGAAAUCGACUUUAACAACGGUUAACGAGGGCGAGAGGGUUGCUGAGACCGUGGCAACGUUAAUAUAAUUCGCGGUGGACCACCUUCCAGACGAUGACCGGAAAGGGGAAUGCCGCGCAAAUUCCAUGUUGAAAUUAGCAUCGCUCGGAUUCCGAUCCGUGAACAUUCUAAGUUAUGGCCGAACGAGAGGACGCGAUCCCGCAUGCUUCGCCUAUGAUCUCCCGCAGUCAAUGCGCACGCAUAUUCAAAUCUAAAGUGGUGAAUAAUCACCCGAGGUUAUUGCAACGGAAUACCCCGUUACGAUCGCUUUAACCCGUUUAUAUGAUUCAUGAAUAAAUUGUAUCUAUAAUUCAAAUACAAUAGAAGCUCCACAUACA